GUGGGGAAUCUUGCGCAAUGGGCGAAAGCCUGACGCAGCCAUGCCGCGUGAAUGAUGAAGGUCUUAGGAUUGUAAAAUUCUUUCACCGGGGACGAUAAUGACGGUACCCGGAGAAGAAGCCCCGGCUAACUUCGUGCCAGCAGCCGCGGUAAUACGAAGGGGGCUAGCGUUGCUCGGAAUUACUGGGCGUAAAGGGCGCGUAGGCGGACAGUUUAGUCAGAGGUGAAAGCCCAGGGCUCAACCUUGGAAUUGCCUUUGAUACUGGCUGUCUUGAGUACGGGAGAGGUGAGUGGAACUCCGAGUGUAGAGGUGAAAAUCGUAGAUAUUCGGAAGAACACCAGUGGCGAAGGCGACUCACUGGCCCGUUACUGACGCUGAGGCGCGAAAGCGUGGGGAGCAAACAGGAUUAGAUACCCCAGUAGUCC
rnacentral:rRNA from 1 species